CACGUAGGGUGCGAGCGUUUGUCCGGAAUUAUUGGGCGUAAAGAGCUCGUAGGCGGUGUGUCGCGUCGGCCGUGAAAACCUGCAGCUUAACUGUGGGCUUGCGGUCGAUACGGGCAUCACUGGAGUUCGGCAAGGGAGACUGGAAUUCCUGGUGAUAGCGGUGAAAUGCGCAGAUAUCAAGGAGGAACACCGGUGGCGAAGGCGGGUCUCUGGGC
rnacentral:rRNA from 1 species